UUUAAGUUUUACAUUAAAGAAGACGAAGGAAAAAGUUUUUACCAGAUAUUCCACACAUAAAAAGGCGCUAAAGGUUAAUAUAAAACAAGCAACUUGGACUAAGUUAAUCAUUUUUUACAAAACAAAGGAAAAAACUACAAAAAGGAAAUUCAAACUCAAACAAGCAAGCCAUGAAGAAAAUGUUUCUAAUGGACUAUAUUUGUAUUCGUUAAAACAUUCAUUCUGUGCUUAUUUCUCAACAAGUCCAAACGUCAUUUUAAUUUGCUAGAAAAUCAAAUUGAACAAAAUUUUGUGCUCAUUUUUCAAUGUUAUUAAAAUUAUGGUUAACAUAAAACAAGCAACAUGGACUAAGUUGAUGCGUUUUUACAUAUAAAAAGGGAAUCUACAACAAUAAAAACCAACCUAAAACCAGCAAGCCAUGAACAAAAUGUUUCUAAUGUCGUCCAUUAAAUGAAAGUUUCAUUCUGGGCUUAUUUCUGAACAAGACCAGAUGUCAUUUUUAAUUACCUAGAAAGUCAAACUGAACAAAAUUUUUUGUUACAGAACAAAUUUUAAACUUCAUUCAAUUUAUUUUAGAAUGUGCUUUGAAUUUUACUCGCCAUUCGGAGAACUCGAGUGACUUUCAACCUUUGAAGACAAUCUUUAUGACCUUGGACUUUUUAAACUGGAUGCAUGAUCAUCAAAGCCAAAGUUUUUAUAUAUAUUUGAUGUCCACAGUUGCCUUGCAGCUUUGAAUCUGAUAAACUGGCCAGGGUUUUAGAUGAGGUGUCUCUGCUUAGUCUUGAGGCACCUCAAGUUCCUCCCAGCCAAAUAAAGUUGGAUUUGGAUUUGUCCAACUGCUCGAAGGUGGCCAAGUCAAUAUACCGGAAGACCGAGCACAUUCAUUCCCAGCCCUGUUGUAUGUGUUCUGAAUGACAUUUGUCCACUAAAAGGCAAAGAUCAGAAUGGUGAAAUAACUAUUGGCCUGGCCGAUAUUCUGUUGACAGCCAUUAACUCGAUUAAUAUCUGAUUUAGGAUGAUUUGCUUCUUGUCUUUGGUAUUCCUUCGGCGCUUAUAUAGGCUAUUAUAUAACCGCCCUGAGAAUACUGAAGCCAAGAAACAAACCAUCUUGAAGCAGAUACACAUCGAGUUGAUUGGCUGACCGUCAAGGGUUUAAGUCAUGAUGGCUUAAAGAGCAAGGACCACUUUUCUGAUAUAUCUGUGAACAGCUGGGAUUGCGCGGAUAUCAAUUAGCACACAUACGAUAGGUGCUAGGAAGGAAGGUGAAAGAAUUUCACGAGGAUCGCUUUUAUUACCUUUAAACAGCUGGCAAAUUCCAUUCCACCGUAAACCCAGAAAGGCCUUACAUUGCCCUGGCCAACAAUAGCUGUACUCCUCCAGAACAAUUUUAGUUCCAUGGCAGACCUUUUGGACACGUCAAGCACUGUAGUCAACAACCUUUUAUAUGAUCUCUGAUAAUUAAGACCAAAUUAUUUAUUGUGCUGCGUGAGAACGUUAACUGUGCUCAAAUUCAAUGGAGGUUAAUUAUUAAUCAAGUCUUGAAAAUGUUUCCUGAAUGCCGAAAGAAGAUUUCCUCGCUGGAAAUUGUCAUCCAGCCUUCGGACAUUGGGUUAAUAUUCAGAAAGAAGAGUAAUGGGAACUAAUGAGCUGGAAACUGGAAAUUAAAAUAGACUUACACAUAAUUUAAGGUUGUGGAGUUGAAUAUCCAUUCUAACAUAUUUUGUAAAACUCAGAAGUGGCAAGAAAGGUGUUCUGUUAAGUAACAAAUCAAAUUCCCACGAGUACUCAUUAGAGCAGAAUGAAACUUUAAGCAUGAAAGAAGUUCUUAAGAUUAAAUCAUUAUUUUCUGAAUAUUUAACAAACUUAGAUUUCGUGUACUUAUACUUAUUAAACACCUUUUUACGUAUGUAACACUCGUAUGUUUUACCCCUUAAAAAUGUAUUAACUGGCAACUAAAAUCAUCAUCAGAUCAAACCCAUCUUGUCAAAUGAAAUUUCAAAGAAAGAAGAAAUACAACAUAAUCAAAGCCUAAUCUUCAAAGUUGUAUUCUUCUCCCUACCAUUUCAGCAUCGAUCUUUGUCGAGCUUCCAUUCCGAGCAUUUAUCAUCGAUUCCCAAGCUUUGAGAUACAUUCCAAUCUGCACGUCUUCUUUAGUUUUCUUCGAAAUCUUUGUCUUCUGUCGGAUUGAUAGUGUCGAACAUAAAGUUGACAUUGGGGCCAGCUUAAAAGCCACAGAUCGAUAUGCAAAUUGAUCGACAGCCAAGAGCACAAAUUGCCAAAACAAAGCGAGAAGAAAGACGGGAAAUGGGCGUAGAAAUAGAAACAGAAAUAGAAACAGAAACAGAAGACCAAGCUUUGUGGCUCUCUGGCGAAGACAA